CAAUAGCGUAUAUUAAAGCUGUUGCGGUUAAAAAGCUCGUAGUUGGAUUUCUGUCAGGGACAACUGGUCCGCCCUCCGGGUGAGCACAUAGUUUGGUCUUGGCAUCUUGCUGGAAACUGUUGCUGCACUUGGCUGUGUGGCGCAGCGUCCAGCACUUUCACUUUGAGGAAAUUGGAGUGUUUCAAGCAGGCACAUGCCUUUGGACACAGUAGCAUGGAAUAAUUAGAUUGGGCUUUUGCUCCAAUUUGUCGGUUUCUGGAGCUGAGGUGAGAAUUAAUGGGGAUUGUUGGGGGCAUCCGAAUUUAGCCGUCAGAGGUGAAAUUCUUGGAUCUGCUAAAGACGGACAACUGCGAAAGCGUUUGCCCAGGAUGUUUUCAUUGA
rnacentral:rRNA from 1 species